rnacentral:rRNA from 1 species
AACGAACGCUGGCGGCAUGCCUAACACAUGCAAGUCGAACGAGACCUUCGGGUCUAGUGGCGCACGGGUGCGUAACGCGUGGGAACCUGCCCUUAGGUUCGGAAUAACUCCCCGAAAGGGGUGCUAAUACCGGAUAAUGUCUUCAGACCAAAGAUUUAUCGCCUUUGGAUGGGCCCGCGUUGGAUUAGCUAGUUGGUAGGGUAAAAGCCUACCAAGGCGACGAUCCAUAGCUGGUCUGAGAGGAUGAUCAGCCACACUGGGACUGAGACACGGCCCAGACUCCUACGGGAGGCAGCAGUGGGGAAUAUUGGACAAUGGGCGAAAGCCUGAUCCAGCAAUGCCGCGUGAGUGAUGAAGGCGUUAGGGUUGUAAAGCUCUUUUACACGGGAUGAUAAUGACAGUACCGGGAGAAUAAGCUCCGGCUAACUCCGUG